GACGAACGCUGGCGGCAUGCCUAAUACAUGCAAGUCGAGCGAACAGGUGAAGUGCUUGCACUUCUGACGUUAGCGGCGAACGGGUGAGUAACACGUAAGGAAUCUACCUAUAAGCGGGGGAUAACAUUCGGAAACGGGUGCUAAUACCGCACAAUAUCUUCUUCCGCAUGGAAGAAGAUGGAACGACGGCUCUGCUGUCACUUAUAGAUGACCGUGCGGUGCAUUAGUUAGUUGGUGGGGUAAUGGCCUACCAAGACGAUGAUGCAUAGCCGACCGGAGAGGGUGAUCGGCCACAGUGGGACUGAGACACGGCCCAAACUCCUACGGGAGGCAGCAGUAGGGAAUCUUCCGCAAUGGGCGAAAGCCUGACGGAGCAAUGCCGCGUGAGUGAAGAAGGCCUUCGGGUCGUAAAACUCUGUUAUAAGAGAAGAACAAAUUGUAGAGUGACUGCUACAGUCUUGACGGUAUCUUAUCAGAAAGCCACGGCUAACUACGUGCCAGCAGCCGCAGUAA
rnacentral:rRNA from 1 species